rnacentral:rRNA from 1 species
GUCUACAGCCAUGCCACCCUGAACAUGCCCAAUCCCGUCUGAUCUUGGAAGCUAAGCAGGGUCAGGCCUGGUUAGUACUUAGAUGGCGGACCACCUAGUAAUACCAGGUGCUGUAGGCG